CUAUACUGCAGUCGAACGCACGAAGUUGAAGAGCUUGCUCUUUAACCAAGUGAGUGGCGGACGGGUGAGUAACACGUGGGUAACCUGCCCAUUAGAGGGGGAUAACAUUCGGAAACGGAUGCUAAUACCGCAUAGUUUCAGGAAUCGCAUGAUUCUUGAAGGAAAGGUGGCUUCGGCUACCACUAAUGGAUGGACCCGCGGCGUAUUAGCUAGUUGGUGAGGUAAUGGCUCACCAAGGCAAUGAUACGUAGCCGACCUGAGAGGGUGAUCGGCCACACUGGGACUGAGACACGGCCCAGACUCCUACGGGAGGCAGCAGUAGGGAAUCUUCCGCAAUGGACGAAAGUCUGACGGAGCAACGCCGCGUGAGUGAAGAAGGUUUUCGGAUCGUAAAACUCUGUUGUUAAAGAAGAACAAGGAUGAGAGUAACUGCUCAUCCCCUGACGGUAUUUAACCAGAAAGCCACGGCUAACUACGUGCCAGCAGCCGCGGUAAUACGUAGGUGGCAAGCGUUGUCCGGAUUUAUUGGGCGUAAAGCGAGCGCAGGCGGUUCUUUAAGUCUGAUGUGAAAGCCCCCGGCUCAACCGGGGAGGGUCAUUGGAAACUGGAGAACUUGAGUGCAGAAGAGGAGAGUGGAAUUCCACGUGUAGCGGUGAAAUGCGUAGAUAUGUGGAGGAACACCAGUGGCGAAGGCGACUCUCUGGUCUGUAACUGACGCUGAGGCUCGAAAGCGUGGGGAGCAAACAGGAUUAGU
rnacentral:rRNA from 1 species